rnacentral:rRNA from 1 species
CAGUAGCCACGGUAAUACGUAGGGUGCGAGCGUUAAUCGGAAUUACUGGGCGUAAAGCGUGCGCAGGCGGUUCGUUAAGACAGAUGUGAAAUCCCCGGGCUUAACCUGGGAACUGCAUUUGUGACUGGCGAGCUAGAGUAUGGCAGAGGGGGGUAGAAUUCCACGUGUAGCAGUGAAAUGCGUAGAGAUGUGGAGGAAUACCGAUGGCGAAGGCAGCCCCCUGGGCCAAUACUGACGCUCAUGCACGAAAGCGUGGGGAGCAGACAGGAUUAGAUACCCCAGUAGUCCCUGUCUCUUAUAC